UGUACUGUAUGGUUCUACAGAUUGGAUUUCACUCAAAAUCCACCAAAUGUCUCCUCCCGCCAUAUUAUGAUGUUCCCCAAGUUUUGGACUCAAUCCAAUAUCGAUUGGUCCAAGAAAUCGGAUAAUUCAUGUUCAUACGAAGUUUGUUUUGAAAUGGAAUGGUUGGUGUAUUGCAUAGUUCAAGAGAUUGGAUUUCACUCAAAACCCACCAAAUGACACCUCCCACCAUAUUAUGACGUUCCCCAACUUUUGGACUCAAUCCAAUAUCGAUGGGUCUAUGAAAUUGUACAAUUCAUGUUCGUACGAAGUUCGUUCCGAAAAGGAGUGGUUGGUGUAUUGCAUAGUUCUAGAGGUUGGAUUUCACCCAAAACCCACCAAAUGACUCUUCCCACCAUAUUAUGAUGUUCCCCAAGCUCCG
rnacentral:lncRNA from 1 species